UACGUAGGGUGCAAGCGUUAAUCGGAAUUACUGGGCGUAAAGCGUGCGCAGGCGGCUUUGCAAGACAGAUGUGAAAUCCCCGGGCUUAACCUGGGAACUGCAUUUGUGACUGCAUGGCUGGAGUGCGGCAGAGGGGGAUGGAAUUCCUGGUGUAGCAGUGAAAUGCGUAGAUAUCAGGAGGAAUACCGAUGGCGAAGGCAGGUCUCUGGGCUGACACUGACGCUCAUGCACGAAAGCGUGGGGAGCAAACAGG
rnacentral:rRNA from 1 species